GAGUGGAAGUUAGGGAAAAGAGAAGCUAGUGUGUUGAGGUACAAAGAGAAGAGGCAGAACUGGCUUUUCUUCAAAGGUAUCCGUUAUGAAGUUCGAAAGAUCAACGCAGAGAAGCGUCCUCGUAUGAAGGGAAUUUGCAAGGUUUGUGAAUAUAAGAGAUAAAAAUGGAGCAACCCCAUUGCACUUGGCAGCCCGACAAGGAUGGCCGGAGUGUGUUCAUAUGUUGUUAGACAGUGGCACUCUUGUUUGUGCAUCUACUAGGGGAUAUGGGUAAAACUCUCUUAUUGAAGGUUUUCUAGUGUAAUGUCAUAGCACUCUUAAUUUGUCAUUAAUAUUUAUAAGAGUCCUGUUUGCAGUUUCCCUGGGAUUAUAUCACUUCAUUUUGCAGUUCGUGGGGGUUCAUUGGAUUGUGUUCGGGAAUUACUUGCUUGGGGGGCUGAUAGACUUCAUAGAGAUUCAUCUGGACCAGAUCCACUGACAUACGGAGUAGGUGAUUUCAAGGUCUUUGAUGCUGAAAUUAGUUUUGAGUACUCAAUAUGGAAUUAAUGUUAUAGCAGUGUCUGAACCCCCUUGUUAUUCCCUUUCUAUGGAGUUGAAUGUGCUACAAUCUACGUAUUUCUAGUGUGGUUAAACAAUAUUAGCCUUCAUGCUCAAUCAUAACGAAAAUCGAGAGUAAUUGGUUCCUAUUGAGAUUGUUGACGAUGACAUGAUGGCAUUAAAGAAUUUGGAUUGAGGCUUUGACAAGUAUGGUUUAACAAAAGAUAUGGUUGACACCUAAGAAGGAGCAACUUCAGUGGGCUUGUAUAAUGGUUGCUAUUGCCAAAUUAUAUGGUGGCUGCACCUAAGAAAUCCUCUCUAGUGGCCUGCCAAAAGGUCUGUUAAAAACUUAUAUUGCCAAAUCUUGUGCAUCAUUUGUGCCAACUCAACUUACCCAAGAGAGGGUUUUGAUCCAAUGGUCUGGAUGUGAGACAUCCA